GGAGGAAAGCAGGGGAUCGCAAGACCUUGCGCUCAUUGAGCGGCCGAUGCCUGAUUAGCUAGUUGGUGAGGUAAAGGCUUACCAAGGCGACGAUCAGUAGCUGGUCUGAGAGGACGACCAGCCACACUGGGACUGAGACACGGCCCAGACUCCUACGGGAGGCAGCAGUGGGGAAUUUUGGACAAUGGGGGAAACCCUGAUCCAGCCAUGCCGCGUGAGUGAAGAAGGCCUUCGGGUUGUAAAGCUCUUUCAGCCGGAACGAAACGGUCACGGCUAAUACCUGUGACUACUGACGGUACCGGAAGAAGAAGCACCGGCUAACUACGUGCCAGCAGCCGCGGUAAUACGUAGGGUGCGAGCGUUAAUCGGAAUUACUGGGCGUAAAGCGUGCGCAGGCGGUUUUGUAAGUCAGAAGUGAAAUCCCCGGGCUUAACCUGGGAACUGCGUUUGAAAAUGCAAAGCUAGAAGGGC
rnacentral:rRNA from 1 species